UACGUAGGAGGCAAGCGUUUGUUCGGAAUUACUGGGCGUAAAGGGCUCGUAGGCGGCCAACUCAGUCGGACGUGAAAUCCCUCGGCUCAACCGGGGAACUGCGUCCGAUACUGGAUGGCUUGAGUUCGGGAGAGGGAUGCGGAAUUCCAGGUGUAGCGGUGAAAUGCGUAGAUAUCAGGAGGAACACCGGUGGCGAAGGCGGUUCUCUGGGCAUGUCCUGACGCUGAGGAGCGAAAGUGUGGGGAGCGAACAGG
rnacentral:rRNA from 1 species